UGCGUAGGCGGCCCUGUAAGUAUGGUGUGAAAUCUCCCGGCUUAACUGGGAGGGUGCGCUAUAGACUGCGGGGCUCGAGUGUGGGAGAGGAAAGUGGAAUUCCUGGUGUAGCGGUGAAAUGCGUAGAUAUCAGGAGGAACACCGGUGGUGUAAACGGCUUUCUGGACCAUAGCUGACGCUGAGGCACGAAAGCGUGGGUAGCAAACAGGAUUAGAUACCCUGGUAGUCCACGCCCUAAACGAUGCACAUUUGGUGUGGGUCAUUCAGUUGAUCCGUGCCGGAGCUAACGCGUUAAAUGUGCCGCCUGGGGAGUACAGUCGCAAGGCUGAA
rnacentral:rRNA from 1 species